CGUAUAUUAAAGUUGUUGCAGUUAAAAAGCUCGUAGUUGGAUUUCGGAAGGUCCUUAGYAGUCCGCCCCUUCGGGGAGCGGGCUGCUGGCCUCCUAUGUUCCUAACGGUCCUCAUCCGCGAGGGUGGGGAAUCAACCGCUAGGAUCGUUUACUUUGAGGAAAUUAGAGUGUUCAAAGCAGGCGUAACUCGCCUCCGAAUACGUUAGCAUGGGAUAAUGGAAUACGACUUCGGUCUUGUUUCGUUGGUUUCGCUUGGCUGAAGUAAUGAUUGAUAGGGACAGUUGGGGGCAUUAGUAUUUAGUUGUCAGAGGUGAAAUUCUAGGAUUUACUAAAGACUGACCAAUGCGAAAGCAUUUGCCAAGGAUGUUUUCAUUAAUCAAGAACGAAAGUAGGGGGAUCGAAGACGAUCAGAUACCGUCGUAGUCUCUACCGUAAACUAUGCCGACCAGGGAUCCGGAGAGUUUGCAUGGAUGACUCCCCGGGCACCUUGUGAGAAAUCAUAAGUGUUUGGGUUUUGGGGGGAGUAUGGUCGCAAGGCUGAAACUUAAAGGAAUUGACGGAAGGGCACCACCAGGAGUGGAACCUGCGGCUUAAUUUGACUCAACACGGGGAAACUUACGAGGUCAGGACACUGUGAGGAUUGACAGAUUGAAAGCUCUUUCUUGAUUCAGUGGGUGGUGGUGCAUGGCCGUUCUUAGUUGGUGGAGUGAUUUGUCUGGUUAAUUCCGUUAACGAACGAGACCUUAACCUGCUAA
rnacentral:rRNA from 1 species